GACGGGCCCCGCACAAGCAGCGGAGCGUGUGGUUUAAUUCGAUGUUACACGAAGAACCUUUACCAGGGUUUGACAUGCAAGUGGUAGGAAGCCGAAAGGUGACCGACCCUUCGGGGAGCUUGCACAGGUGCUGCAUGGCUGUCGUCAGCUCGUGUCGUGAGAUGUUCGGUUAAGUCCGCUAACGAGCGCAACCCUCGCUGUGUGUUAUAUGUGCCACACGGGACUGCCGGUCUUAAGCCGGAGGAAGGUGGGGAUGAUGUCAAGUCAGCAUGGCCUUUAUAUCCUGGGCUACACACACGCUACAAUGGCCAACACAAUAGGUUGCUAAGCCGCGAGGUGGCGCCAAUCCAUAAAGUUGGUCUCAGUUCAGAUUGUAGGCUGCAACCCGCCUGCAUGAAGAUGGAGUUGCUAGUAACCGCAGGUCAGCUAUACUGCGGUGAAUAUGUCCCUGCUCCUU
rnacentral:rRNA from 1 species